UUCAUCCAGCCCAGUUCUCACCUGGUUUCCUAAUGAAGCUAAGCAGGGUUGAGCCUGGCCAGUACCUGGAUGGGAGACCUCCUGAGUAAAACUAAGGAUGCUGAUGGAA
rnacentral:rRNA from 1 species